rnacentral:rRNA from 1 species
GACGAACGCUGGCGGCGUGCUUAACACAUGCAAGUCGAACGAAGUGGCGAACGGGUGAGUAACGCGUAAUCAACCUGCCCUUCAGCGGGGGACAACAGUUGGACACGACUGCUAAUACCGCAUACUGAAGGAUGGGAUUGCGUCUGAUUAGGUAGUUGGAGGGGUAACGUCCCCCCAAGGCGAGGAUCAGGAGCCGGGCUGAGAGGAUGAACGGCCACAGUGGGACGGGGACACGGCCCAGACUCAUACGGGAGGGAGCAGUGGGGAAUCUGCCGCAAUGGACGAAAGUCUGACGAAGCAACGCGGCGUGAUGGAGGACGGCCGUCGGGUUGUAAAGCUCUGUUAAUCGGGACGCGGUACCGGAAUAGAAAGCCAUGGCUAACUACGUGCCAGCAGCCGCGGUAAUUC